ACUUAAUUAGUAUAAAAAGUAUAUUAAGAUUCCAACUUAAUGGUUUAGCAAUUAAAUUAAGUA
rnacentral:tRNA from 1 species